CUCAGUUCGGAUUGGAGUCUGCAACCCGACUCCAUGAAGCUGGAUUCGCUAGUAAUCGCGCAUCAGCCACGGCGCGGUGAAUACGUUCCCGGGCCUUGUACACACCGCCCGUCAAGCCAUGGGAGCCGGGGGUGCCUGAAGUGCGCUGCCGCGAGGAGCGCCCUAGGGUAAAACCGGUGACUGGGGCUAAGUCGUAACAAGGUAAC
rnacentral:rRNA from 1 species